GGCAAAAGAAACAGGAAGUAGCCCGUUUUCAAAAAUAAUCCAGCAGUGUGAUGGAGGACACAGGACACGGUCAUUUACCACCAACACAAGCACAGAUCCUUGAACUUUCUCUUAUUUUUCCAUUAAGAAACAAUCUCGGCCCUUGCUGAGUCACUUUACACGCUUUAGUCUUCUGGACUACACAACCGGCACACACGUUUAUUCACUAAAGACCAUUAAUAAUCAAUGAGCAGUAAAAACUGGUGUGAACAUUCUGCAUUACAGAAGGAUCUGGCAGCGUUUCUGCAGGUUGUAAAGUGCAGGGCGGUAUCAGGACGCCGUGAUCUGAUUUUUUUUUUUUUCCGAGUGAAUCAACUUUAAUAUAUUGAACAGAUUCACAGAACAAGACUUUGUCAUCUAAGGAGCACUUGGAAAAAAGAAUUGACCUGAGA